UGAAAGCGAAAGUCGCGGGCGGGCCUGGAUGAAGCGCGCAGCGUGCAAAACCCACCGAGCACGGAUGCCUCCCGAGUGCACACUGCAAUUUAGUCGCACGGUUAGAAGUGUGUUUGUAUGUACUAACCGUUUUUUGCGUAUUUCAAGGGGUAAACAUCGCUCAAGCAGUUUCUUGUGAUUAACAUUGUGAUUAUAGUGAGGCCAUCCCUCCCCCGGACCUCGUGUACGCAAAACGCAGUGCUUGUAAAUGCCAAACCAGCCCCGGGUGGUACCGGGUGGUUUGCCUAUUGGACCACAUCAAUUAUUCCACCCAUCGCCUGGCUUUUGCGUUGAUUGCUGAUACGUUCUUCUCAACCACACACACACAUACACACAGGGAAUGUGCCGGUGCGUUAUCGAAUCGGAGUUGAGCAUCGUAAAUUUUGACUGACGAGAUAACGACCGCAUCAAACAACUCACCUUUAUCGUUAGAAUGCAACCGGUGAGCGCAAUGAUGUUGCAAAGCAUGUGAUAGGACGCAACCAGCAGUACCAGCGAGUGGGAAACGUGGCUCAGGAACAGCUGCACCAGAAAGUAGACGGACGACAGGGCCAGCACGAUGUACAGCUGGACGGGCUGCAACCGGUAGAUCCACUCCUUCAUAGGCAUUUUGGGCAGUGGUGCACUUCGGUUAAGCACUACCUUAUGAGCUUAACUACCGACACGAUCUACGUAAUAUUCCCGUUCCGGUGGCACUUCAUUAGAUUCUGAUGGAGAGGGGGAAAACAUUGAGUCACAUUAUUACUUUUGUAAAUUUAUUCUUUUCUUAGAAUGUUAAUAAAUUCGAUUUCAUGCGAUCA